rnacentral:rRNA from 1 species
GAUGAACGCUGGCGGCGUGCCUAAUACAUGCAAGUCGAGCGAGAUGUUAGCGCAUGAACCUUCGGGGGAUUAUGCUAACGGACAGCGGCGGACGGGUGAGUAACGCGUAGGCAACCUGCCCCUGACAGAGGGAUAGCCAUUGGAAACGAUGAUUAAAACCUCAUGACACCGUAGAAGCACAUGCUUCAUCGGUCAAAGAUUUAUCGGUCAGGGAUGGGCCUGCGUCUGAUUAACUAGUUGGUGAGGUAACGGCUCACCAAGGUGACGAUCAGUAGCCGACCUGAGAGGGUGAUCGGCCACAUUGGAACUGAGACACGGUCCAAACUUCUACGGAAGGCAGCAGUAGGGAAUCUUGCACAAUGGGCGAAAGCCUGAUGCAGCAACGCCGCGUGAAGGAUGAAGGCCUUCGGGUUGUAAACUUCUGUUCUAAGGGAAGAAACAAAUGACGACCUAGAGCAGCCCC